CAAAAAGUCUUUUGACUGCUUUAAUUAUUUGUGACUAAAACUGAAUUUAUGAAUUAUGUUCAAUAUGAUUUCAAUAUUACGCAGCACAGUUUCCAAUUUAAGAAAUCAUUCAUAAACAUAAUAUAAAUAAUAGAGUGCGAGUGCGAGGGAGAGGGAGAGAAACCGCAGCAAGCAACCGCAGUGUAACAUUUUCCACACCCACAUUGACUGUUUAUGAUGAUUAAGUUAAUAUGAUAAGAGAGCUAAGUAAUUUGCUGCUAAUUAAGUCAAGUGGCUCUCAAAUGCUGACAUCAAGAAAGGGAAACGUGAAACAACAACGAGCACGAGCGAGAGAGAGAGAGAGAGAGAGACAGAGACAGAGACAGACAGAAAGUCGUGUUUGACUGCAUGUUAUACCAGGCACAAGAACAAACAGCGUAACAAAUAAAGCCAAGCGAAACAAUGAAAUUAACUAAACACCGAUGUCAACGAAUGUGCUAAUACACUACAAAUGUAUACAAACAUGUUGGAUAUUUAUAGCAUUAAUUGAAUUGUUAAAUAUAUGAAGUUUUAAUAUAUACAA